AACGAACGCUGGCGGCGCGCCUAAUACAUGCAAGUCGAGCGAGAAGACGUAGCAAUACGUUUGUAAAGCGGCGAACGGGUGAGGAAUACAUGGGUAACCUACCCUCGAGUGGGGAAUAACUAGCCGAAAGGUUAGCUAAUACCGCAUACGACUCUCGGUCUGCGGAUCGAGAGGGGAAGCGAUACCGUGGGUAUCGCGCUCAUGGAUGGGCUCAUGUCCUAUCAGCUUGUUGGUGAGGUAACGGCUCACCAAGGCUUCGACGGGUAGCUGGUCUGAGAGGACGAUCAGCCACACUGGCACUGCGACACGGGCCAGACUCCUACGGGAGGCAGCAGUAAGGAAUAUUGCGCAAUGGGCGAAAGCCUGACGCAGCGACGCCGCGUGAGGGAUGACGGCC
rnacentral:rRNA from 1 species